GACGAACGCUGGCGGCGUGCCUAAUACAUGCAAGUCGAACGCAUUUUCUUUCACCGUAGCUUGCUACACCGAAAGAAAAUGAGUGGCGAACGGGUGAGUAACACGUGUGUAACCUGCCCAUCAGCGGGGGAUAACACUUGGAAACAGGUGCUAAUACCGCAUAAUUCCAUUUACUGCAUGGUAGUUGGAUGAAAGGCGCUUUUGCGUCACUGUUGGAUGGACUCGCGGUGCAUUAGCUAGGUGGUGGGGUAACGGCCUACCAAGGCUGCGAUGCAUAGCCGCCAUGAGAGGGUGAGCGGCCACCCUGGGACUGAGACACGGCCCAGAGGGCUUCGGGAGGCAGCAGGAGGGAAACGUCGGCAAGGGACGCAAGACUGACCGAGCAACGCCGAGGGAGUGCAGAACGUUGUCGGAUCGGAAAACUCUGUUGUUAGAAAAGAACAAGGAUGAGCGUGGAAAGUUCAUCGCUCGACGGUAUCUAAUCAGAAAGCCACGGCUAACUACGUG
rnacentral:rRNA from 1 species